rnacentral:misc_RNA from 1 species
GGAGUAAAAGUCGUAACAAGGUUUCCGUAGGUGAACCUGCGGAAGGAUCAUUAUUGUAUAACCGAGGUGCGAGGGCUGUCGCUGACCCGAAAGGUCGUGCACGCCCGAGUGCCCUCACACACAUCCAUCUCACCCCUAUGUGCACCACCGCGUGGGUCCCCCUUUGGCUUGUUCGGAGGGGGGCUUACGUUUUCACACAAACUUUGUAUGCAGUGUAGAAUGUAUUUUUUGUUUUUGCGAUCACGCAAUCAAUACAACUUUCAACAACGGAUCUCUUGGCUCUC